GGGGGAUCGUGGUAGGGGAGCGUUCCAGGGGCUGUAAAGCCAGACCGUGAGGACUGGUGGAGCGCCUGGAAGUGAGAAUGCCGGUAUGAGUAACGAAAAGAAGGGUGAGAAUCCCUUCCGUCGAAAACCCAAGGUUUCCUGAGGAAGGUUCGUCCGCUCAGGGUUAGUCGGGUCCUAAGCCGAGGCCGAAAGGCGUAGGCGAUGGAAAACAGGUUUAAAUUCCUGUACCACCUCCUUUCCAUUUGAGCAAUGGGGGGACGCAGGAAGGUAGGGCAAGCGUGCUGCUGGAUAUGCACGUCCAAGCCGGUAGGCCGAAGAGCAGGCAAAUCCGCUCUUCAUCAAGGCUGAGCGGCGAUGGCGAGGGAAAUUAAGUACCGAAGUUCCCGAUCCUACACUGCCAAGAAAAGCCUCUAGCGAGGAAAAAGGUGCCCGUACCGCAAACCGACACAGGUGGGUGGGAUGAGAAUUCUAAGACGCGCGGGAGAACUCUCGUUAAGGAACUCGGCAAAAUGACCCCGUAACUUCGGGAGAAGGGGUGCUCUUUCGGGUGAAUAGCCCAGGAGAGCCGCAGUGAAAAGGCCCAAGCGACUGUUUAUCAAAAACACAGGUCUCUGCGAAGCCGCAAGGCGAAGUAUAGGGGCUGACACCUGCCCGGUGCUGGAAGGUUAAGAGGAGAGGUUAUCCCCUUCGGGGAGAAGCUUUGAAUUGAAGCCCCAGUAAACGGCGGCCGUAACUAUAACGGUCCUAAGGUAGCGAAAUUCCUUGUCGGGUAAGUUCCGACCCGCACGAAAGGUGCAACGACUUGGGCACUGUCUCAACGAGAGACCCGGUGAAAUUAUAUUACCUGUGAAGAUGCAGGUUACCCGCGACAGGACGGAAAGACCCCAUGGAGCUUUACUGUAGCUUGAUAUUGGAUGGUUGUACUGCUUGUACAGGAUAGGUAGGAGCCUUGGAAGCCGGACCGCUAGGUUCGGUGGAGGCGUCGGUGGGAUACUACCCUGGCUGUACGACUAUUCUAACCUCGGUCCGUGAUCCGGAUCAGGGACAGUGUCAGGUGGGCAGUUUGACUGGGGCGGUCGCCUCCUAAACAGUAACGGAGGCGCCCAAAGGUUCCCUCAGAAUGGUUGGAAAUCAUUCGCAGAGUGCAAAGGCAAAAGGGAGCUUGACUGCGAGACCUACAAGUCGAGCAGAGACGAAAGUCGGGCUUAGUGAUCCGGCGGUCCCGUAUGGAAGGGCCGUCGCUCAACGGAUAAAAGCUACCCUGGGGAUAACAGGCUUAUCUCCCCCAAGAGUCCACAUCGACGGGGAGGUUUGGCACCUCGAUGUCGGCUCAUCGCAUCCUGGGGCUGAAGUAGGUCCCAAGGGUUGGGCUGUUCGCCCAUUAAAGCGGUACGCGAGCUGGGUUCAGAACGUCGUGAGACAGUUCGGUCCCUAUCCGUCGCGGGCGUUGGAAAUUUGAGAGGAGCUGUCCUUAGUACGAGAGGACCGGGAUGGACACACCGCUGGUGUACCAGUUGUUCCGCCAGGAGCAUCGCUGGGUAGCUACGUGUGGACGGGAUAAGUGCUGAAAGCAUCUAAGCAUGAAGCCCCCCUCGAGAUGAGAUUUCCCAUCACGCAAGUGAGUAAGAUCCCUUGGAGAUGACAAGGUAGAUAGGUCUGAGGUGGACGUGCGGCGACGCAUGCAGCUGACAGAUACUAAUCGAUCGAGGACUUAUCCA
rnacentral:rRNA from 1 species